UCGCUGGAUGUUCUUGGUCAGUUUGAGAUGGAACACCCUUGGUAUGUUCAGGGUAUCUAAUCAAGCAGCUGAAAGCAUAACAGCUGUAUAAUAACGAGCCAGGUAGCUCAAGAUCACUGCUUAAAAAAAUCCAGCAGUAAACCAACACUGCAAACUCAUAACACUGAUCAACAUUUCUCUAACUCGGACUACUUUACACUUACACAGCAUCCAAAUCAUAGAUCUGGACUUGCCCACCCCUACAAAAGUCCUCUCAAAAGCUAAAGCUAGGUCAGUCGGAUAAAGCUAGAGCUAGAGCUAGGUCAGCCGGGUAAACUCUUUACCGACACCAA
rnacentral:lncRNA from 1 species